rnacentral:lncRNA from 1 species
CCCAUUCGUGCUUCAUACGGAAGGUGUAGAAUCAUAUGCUGCAUUGGAUUGAAGAAGCCUGGAGGAAAGAUCUUCUCCAACUUACAGAGCAACACAGGCGCCAUUGUUUCCAUUUCUGCAACCACGGUACGAGAUAACUCCUUCGCACAAAGCCGGCGGAAGAAAUUGCUCAACUCCGCUAGCACCUGCCACACAUGCUCAGGGACAUAGCCUCGAACCAUCACCGGAAGUAGGCGCUCAAGCCAUAUAUGGUAAUCAUGACUCUUGAGCCCGUUGAUUUGCAUAGUUGCUAAAUUCACUCCCCUCUUCAAGUUCGCUGCAUAGCCAUCAGGGAACAUUAACGUUUGGAACCAUUCUAGAACCUCCCUCCUUUGGGCCCUCGUCAGAACGAAAUCGGCCUUAGGCUUCCUCCAUGACUUGC